ACAGCAGCAGCCACGGGAAUACGUAGGUGGCAAGCGUUGUCCGGAAUUAUUGGGCGUAAAGGGCUCGCAGGCGGUUUCUUAAGUCUGAUGUGAAAGCCCCCGGCUCAACCGGGGAGGGUCAUUGGAAACUGGGAAACUUGAGUGCAGAAGAGGAGAGUGGAAUUCCACGUGUAGCGGUGAAAUGCGUAGAGAUGUGGAGGAACACCAGUGGCGAAGGCGACUCUCUGGUCUGUAACUGACGCUGAGGAGCGAAAGCGUGGGGAGCGAACAGGAUUAGAUACCCCUGUAGUCCCUGUCUCUUAUAC
rnacentral:rRNA from 1 species